UGGGGCACCCUGAUAUUUUCAUGGCAACGU
rnacentral:piRNA from 1 species